UCAGUAUUCUUGCCUGGAGAAUCCCAUGGACAGAGGAGCUUGGAGGGAUACAGUCCAUGGGGUCAAAAAGAGUCGGACCCAACUGAAAAACUCUGUAAACCCAUGUGCUGGUCAGUUUUGGGUUACAGAUUUUCAGAUGAUUCUUUUCCCCAACAUCCAGUACCAAGGACAAGAAGUGUAUGCAAGAUUUCCUGUUUCCUUUUUUUCAAAUCGUGUAAUGAAGUCCUACAUGAAAGACCACAUGAGGAGAGACUGAGUCAUCCGAGCCAUCUCAGCUGAUACCUCAGAAAUGUGAAUGAGGACAUCUGUGAAAGGCUGUUCUCCAUCCAAACCACUAUCUGAAUGCAGUCACAUGAGUGAGCCUAGCUGAGACAAGCAGAACCACCCAGUCAGUCCAGAGAAUUAUUAAAAAUAAUAAGU
ensembl:lncRNA